UGGCUGCCUACGGGUGCUGACGGCCCAGGCCCUUUUUAAACUUGGUCUCUCCGAUGCCCUCCCUUUUCGGCAGCGGCGCGCGACUCGGUCUGGGGUGACUCUUGGCGGGAGCGGAUAACAUUUUCAGGGAGUGAGGCCACCUUGGUUUUCUGUUCUGGGGAGAAUCUGAACCACUGGAGCCCACCAAGGCUCAGUCCAGUUCAAGAUGCUGACAAACCAGGGCUGGUGCUUGAAAAACAGAAUUGUCACUUCAAAGAAGAUAAGGUGUAUUUGAACAUGUGAUGAUUGACAUAUAGAGAAGUUUUCGCUUUCUUUGUCCCUUUCAUGACGGUAGCAGGAGUAAAUUUUGAGAAGUUGACAAAUCUCCGUAAGAACAUAUCUGCCCCAAAGAGAAUUUAUAUAGAAUUCAAUUCCAUUAUUUAAAGGAGCUUUUCUAUCACCCAGCCCCUGCCUGCAAUUUGACAAAGUAACUAGAUUAGCUAUUCUACUAUCUUAAGACAACUUUGUCAACUGUGCUUUAAUUUACAAAAGUUAUUUUAAAUUCAGAAGUUAUUUUGACUGUUCUAAGUUAUAUCCUUCAUAUUUGACCCUUUUGACAGAAAAAAAGUGGAUUCCCCAGGGAAGGGUUAGUUGCAAAAAGGCACGAGGGAGUUUUGAGGAGCCGUUCUUAAUUCUGGUGGUAAUUGUGCUUUGGUAAAAUUUGGGAUGAGUUUUACUGAAUGUAAAUUAAGUUUCAAUAAACAUGACUUUAAAAACUUA